rnacentral:rRNA from 1 species
CCCGGGGGUCCGCGUUGUAAUUUGUAGAGGAUGAUUCGGCGAGGGCUCCCGCCUAAGUCCCCUGGAACGGGGCGUCAUAGAGGGUGAGAAUCCCGUAUGCGGUGGGCUGCCUUAGCCAUGUGAAUCUCCUUCGACGAGUCGAGUUGUUUGGGAAUGCAGCUCUAAAUGGGAGGUAAAUUUCUUCUAAAGCUAAAUACCGGCCAGAGACCGAUAGCGCACAAGUAGAGUGAUCGAAAGAUGAAAAGCACUUUGGAAAGAGAGUUAAAAAGUACGUGAAAUUGUUGAAAGGGAAGCGCUUGCAGCCAGACUUGUCCGCAGUUGCUCAGCCGGUCUCCUGACCGGCGCACUCUUCUGCGGCCAGGCCAGCAUCAGUUCGGGCGGUCGGAUAAAGGCCCCGGGAACGUAGCUCCUCUCGGGGAGUGUUAUAGCCCGGGGUGGAAUGCGGCCAGCCUGGACUGAGGAUCUCGCUUCGGCUAGGAUGCUGGCGUAAUGGCUGUAAGCGGCCCGUCUUGAAACACGGACCAAGGAGUCUAACAUCUAUGCGAGUGUUUGGGUGUCAAACCCAUGCGCGUAAUGAAAGUGAACGGAGGUGGGAACCCUCGCGGGUGCACCAUCGACCGAUCCUGAUGUCUUCGGAUGGAUUUGAGUAAGAGCAUAGCUGUUGGGACCCGAAAGAUGGUGAACUAUGCCUGAAUAGGGUGAAGCCAGAGGAAACUCUGGUGGAGGCUCGCAGCGGUUCUGACGUGCAAAUCGAUCGUCAAAUUUGGGUAU